ACUUUUUAGUUUUUUCAGUUCAGUUCAGUUAUUAUUCGACUACUAACCUGUUUUCGUGUGUAUUAAGUACAGAGUCGUAAUAAAUGAGAAAAAGCGAAUACUGAUGUAUAAUAAUCCCUGCCUCUGAAAGCGACAUAAAAGGAACGCGCAAGCAACACAUUCUUUGGCCGCACUCAACGCCACACGAGAGAGUGUCGUGGCGCCGUCCGUCGUGGGAUGAGAAUACACGUGCAAAGUAGUGAGACUUUUACGGAGCAAUGAAGACACGUCGCAGCGGGCGGGCAAGGAGAGAAAGACUCAAAUCAAAAUCGAAAUCAAAACCAAAGGAGAUUAAAACUUCCAAAAAACAGACGACGAAGAUUCUCA